UGCAGUUAUACAAUACGUUAUCAAGUUGCAAUAAAACAACAGUGAUAUAACCAACAACCUUUAUCUUCAAACGUUAUUCCAAGCAUCCCAGAAAAUUUAUUUUUCAAUUUCUUUCCCUACCUUCCCUCCCUACCUUAGCUUAACCUUCGAUCCCUAUCCGGAAGUAUAUAUCGUUGGUUGUGGAGAUUGUGAGAUUAUAACAUCGAGACUCGCAGGUCUCCACAGUUGUAGUGCGUAAUCAGAACAACAAUAAGCCAAGUGUGUAAGCUGAUGGGGUAACCAAACGGUUGCCAGUAAAGUGGCUCGUGGGCCCAAAUGUAAUUUGGGUUCGCAGGUCUCUAGUGGAUUUGCCAUGUGUACCUGAACAAAUAUACAUGGUGGAGGUUAGUGGGCAAUGUGUCACUACCAGUAUUACAUGGAGCAAGUAGCAGCCCGCUUAUCUGAACAUAUCUUGGGACAAUUUGGUAAAUUACAUGUUUGGG
rnacentral:lncRNA from 1 species